UUGCGGCGUGCUUACCUGCAAGUCGAACGGUGAAGCCAAGCUUGCUUGGUGGAUCAGUGGCGAACGGGUGAGUAACACGUGAGCAACCUGCCCUGGACUCUGGGAUAAGCGCUGGAAACGGCGUCUAAUACUGGAUAUGAGCUCUCAUCGCAUGGUGGGGGUUGGAAAGAUUUUUCGGUCUGGGAUGGGCUCGCGGCCUAUCAGCUUGUUGGUGAGGUAAUGGCUCACCAAGGCGUCGACGGGUAGCCGGCCUGAGAGGGUGACCGGCCACACUGGGACUGAGACACGGCCCAGACUCCUACGGGAGGCAGCAGUGGGGAAUAUUGCACAAUGGGCGGAAGCCUGAUGCAGCAACGCCGCGUGAGGGAUGACGGCCUUCGGGUUGUAAACCUCUUUUAGCAGGGAAGAAGCGAGAGUGACGGUACCUGCAGAAAAAGCGCCGGCUAACUACGUGCCAGCAGCCGCGGUAAUACGUAGGGCGCAAGCGUUAUCCGGAAUUAUUGGGCGUAAAGAGCUCGUAGGCGGUUUGUCGCGUCUGCUGUGAAAUCCCGAGGCUCAACCUCGGGCCUGCAGUGGGUACGGGCAGACUAGAGUGCGGUAGGGGAGAUUGGAAUUCCUGGUGUAGCGGUGGAAUGCGCAGAUAUCAGGAGGAACACCGAUGGCGAAGGCAGAUCUCUGGGCCGUAACUGACGCUGAGGAGCGAAAGGGUGGGGAGCAAACAGGCUUAGAUACCCUGGUAGUCCACCCCGUAAACGUUGGGAACUAGUUGUGGGGACCAUUCCACGGUUUCCGUGACGCAGCUAACGCAUUAAGUUCCCCGCCUGGKGAGUACGGCCGCAAGGCUAAAACUCAAAGGAAUUGACGGGGACCCGCACAAGCGGCGGAGCAUGCGGAUUAAUUCGAUGCAACGCGAAGAACCUUACCAAGGCUUGACAUAUACGAGAACGGGCCAGAAAUGGUCAACUCUUUGGACACUCGUAAACAGGUGGUGCAUGGUUGUCGUCAGCUCGUGUCGUGAGAUGUUGGGUUAAGUCCCGCAACGAGCGCAACCCUCGUUCUAUGUUGCCAGCACGUAAUGGUGGGAACUCAUGGGAUACUGCCGGGGUCAACUCGGAGGAAGGUGGGGAUGACGUCAAAUCAUCAUGCCCCUUAUGUCUUGGGCUUCACGCAUGCUACAAUGGCCGGUACAAAGGGCUGCAAUACCGUGAGGUGGAGCGAAUCCCAAAAAGCCGGUCCCAGUUCGGAUUGAGGUCUGCAACUCGACCUCAUGAAGUCGGAGUCGCUAGUAAUCGCAGAUCAGCAACGCUGCGGUGAAUACGUUCCCGGGUCUUGUACACACCGCCCGUCAAGUCAUGAAAGUCGGUAACACCUGAAGCCGGUGGCCCAACCCUUGUGGAGGGAGCCGUCGAAAAGGGGGAUUUAG
rnacentral:rRNA from 1 species